rnacentral:rRNA from 1 species
CCCAGACUCCUACGGGAGGCAGCAGUGGGGGAUAUUGCACAAUGGGGGGAACCCUGAUGCAGCGACGCCGCGUGGGUGAAGGAGCGUUUCGGCGCGUAAAGCCCUAUCGGCAGGGAAGAAGGAGGACGGUACCUGACUAAGAAGCCCCGGCUAACUACGUGCCAGCAGCCGCGGUAAUACGUAGGGGGCAAGCGUUAUCCGGAUUUACUGGGUGUAAAGGGGGCGCAGACGGCAGCGCAAGCCAGGAGUGAAAGCCCGGGGCCCAACCCCGGGACUGCUCUUGGAACUGCGCGGCUGGAGUGCAGGAGGGGCAGGCGGAAUUCCUGGUGUAGCGGUGAAAUGCGUAGAUAUCAGGAGGAACACCGGUGGCGAAGGCGGCCUGCUGGACUGCGACUGACGUUGAGGCCCGAAAGCGUGGGGAGCAAACAGGAUUAGAUACCCCUGUAU